rnacentral:rRNA from 1 species
UAGGGAAUCUUCGGCAAUGGACGAAAGUCUGACCGAGCAACGCCGCGUGAGUGAAGAAGGUUUUCGGAUCGUAAAACUCUGUUGGUAGAGAAGAACGUUGGUGAGAGUGGAAAGCUCAUCAAGUGACGGUAACUACCCAGAAAGGGACGGCUAACUACGUGCCAGCAGCCGCGGCAAUACGUAGGUCCCGAGCGUUGUCCGGAUUUAUUGGGCGUAAAGCGAGCGCAGGUGGUUUAUUAAGUCUGGUGUAAAAGGCAGUGGCUCAACCAUUGUAUGCAUUGGAAACUGGUAGACUUGAGUGCAGGAGAGGAGAGUGGAAUUCCAUGUGUAGCGGUGAAAUGCGUAGAUAUAUGGAGGAACACCGGUGGCGAAAGCGGCUCUCUGGCCUGUAACUGACACUGAGGCUCGAAAGCGUGGGGAGCAAAA